ensembl:snRNA U6 U6 spliceosomal RNA
GUCCUCAACUCAGAAGCAUAUAUACGUAAAUCAGAAUGACACAGAGAUUAGCAUGGUCCCUGCUCAAGGAUGACAUACAAAUUUAUGAAGCAUUCCAUAUUUUA